UUCCCUGACUUACAAUUUGUCAUAAAAAACUGUCACUCUGCAAUAUGAACACAUGUAUUUAUAUAUAUAUAUAUUUUUUUUUUCUUUUUGAAAAUAAGAUUAUAAGGUUGCAAAAUGAGUUGACCAAAUGUGGAAUCUUGAAGAACAUGAGCGACUAUGAAGAUUUUUGGAAGUUGAUUGGGGAGGAAGCUCAUGGAACAGAUAUCAAAGAACAGCUCCAGAAGAUAAAAAUUAAAAGACUUUCUUUCUCAACUUAUGGAGUGGAGGGAGAGGUGCCAACAGCGAGAGACUGCAGGAAAACCACCGUGCGGACAGGGGGAGAACAAGAUCAUUUGUAAAACGAACAAGAAGGAUUCCCGAAGUAGGAUAUAUCUUAGAUGCUUGCAUCAGAUGUAUUCUACCUCCCUUGCUAACAUGGAAUUCUCCAGAAGCUCCACUGUCUGCUGCUUCCCUCCAACCCUUGCUGUAAGAGUGGCUUUGACUGCUCUCCUUUUACUUCUUCCUCCUCUUCUCUGCCCACCUGCCACCUCCAGAAUGCCUUUCUCAGCCAGCCACCCUGCAUGAGCUGUUUUUUUUUUUGGUACCGGGGAUUGAACCCAGGGUCUUCAUGCUGCAUGACAUUAUCAGGCCUUUUUAUUUUUUAUUUUGAGACAGUCUCCCCAAGUUUUUUAAUUGCCCAGGCUGGCUCCCACUAGUAAUCCUUCUGCCUCAGCCUCCCAGACUGUUUGGAUUACAGGUGUGCACCACUACAGCCAGCUGAGCUGGGGCUCAAGCUUCUUCCUUGAGCUGCCUUCGCCAACCUAUGAGGUGGGAAGUACCUCAAAGGCAGGCACCUCAUCUCCUAAUUAGCGAGUGUCCUCUCACAGGCCUGAGUACUUCUCUAAAGAAAGCAAUUUGUCAACC
rnacentral:lncRNA from 1 species